rnacentral:rRNA from 1 species
UACGUAGGGACCAAGCGUUGUCCGGAAUCAUUGGGCGUAAAGAGCGUGUAGGCGGCUUGUUAAGUCUUGCGUGAAAUCUCGGGGCUCAACCCCGAGCGGUCGUGAGAAACUGGCAGGCUAGAGUGCGGGAGAGGAGAGUGGAAUUCCUGGUGUAGCGGUGAAAUGCGCAGAUAUCAGGAGGAACACCUGUGGCGAAAGCGGCUCACUGGACCACAACUGACGCUGAUGCACGAAAGCUAGGGGAGCAAACAGG